rnacentral:rRNA from 1 species
AGUGAACGCUGGCGGUAGGCCUAACACAUGCAAGUCGAACGGCAGCACAGUAAGCGCUUGCUCUUACGGGUGGCGAGUGGCGGACGGGUGAGGCAUACAUCGCAAUCUACUUUUUCGUGGGGGAUAACGUAGGGAAACUUACGCUAAUACCGCAUACGUCCUACGGGUGAAAGCAGUGGAUCUUCGGACCUUGCGCGAUUGUAUGAGCCGAUGUCGGAUUAGCUAGUUGGCGGGGUAAAGGCCCACCGAGGCGACGAUCCGUAGCUGGUCUGAGAGGAUGAUCAGCCACACUGGAACUGAGACACGGUCCAGACUCCUACGGGAGGCAGCAGUGGGGAAUAUUGGACAAUGGGCGCAAGCCUGAUCCAGCCAUACCGCGUGGGUGAAGAAGGCCUUCGGGUUGUAAAGCCCUUUUGUUGGGAAAGAAAAGCAGCAGGUUAAUACCCCGCUGUUCUGACGGUACCCAAAGAAUAAGCACCGGCUAACUUCGUG